rnacentral:rRNA from 1 species
CCUACGGGAGGCAGCAGUGGGGAAUAUUGCACAAUGGGCGAAAGCCUGAUGCAGCAACGCCGCGUGAAGGAAGAAGGCCUUCGGGUCGUAAACUUCUGUCCUUGGGGAAGAAGAACUGACGGUACCCAAGGAGGAAGCCCCGGCUAACUACGUGCCAGCAGCCGCGGUAAUACGUAGGGAGCAAGCGUUAUCCGGAUUUAUUGGGUGUAAAGGGUGCGUAGACGGGAAUGCAAGUUGGUUGUGAAAUCCCUCGGCUUAACUGAGGAACUGCAACCAAAACUACAUUUCUUGAGUGCUGGAGAGGA